CCUACGGGAGGCAGCAGUGGGGAAUAUUGCACAAUGGGGGAAACCCUGAUGCAGCGACGCCGCGUGAGUGAAGAAGUAUUUCGGUAUGUAAAGCUCUAUCAGCAGGGAAGAAAAUGACGGUACCUGAAGAAGAAGCCCCGGCUAACUACGUGCCAGCAGCCGCGGUAAUACGUAGGGGGCAAGCGUUAUCCGGAUUUACUGGGUGUAAAGGGGGCGCAGACGGCGAUGCAAGCCAGGAGUGAAAGCCCGGGGCUCAACCCCGGGACUGCUCUUGGAACUGCGUGGCUAGAGUGCAGGAGGGGCAG
rnacentral:rRNA from 1 species